rnacentral:rRNA from 1 species
CGGACGGGUGGGUAAUGUCUGGGAAACUGCCCGAUGGAGGGGGAUAACUACUGGAAACGGUAGCUAAUACCGCAUAACGUCGCAAGACCAAAGAGGGGGGACUUCGGGCCUCUUGCCAUCGGAUGUGCCCAGAUGGGAUUAGCUAGUAGGUGGGGUAACGGCUCACCUAGGCGACGAUCCCUAGCUGGUCUGAGAGGAUGACCAGCCACACUGGAACUGAGACACGGUCCAG